rnacentral:rRNA from 1 species
GAUGAACGCUAGCUACAGGCUUAACACAUGCAAGUCGAGGGGCAGCAUGACGAUAGCUUGCUAUUGUUGAUGGCGACCGGCGCACGGGUGAGUAACGCGUAUCCAACCUGCCCUUGUCCACCGGAUAACCCGUCGAAAGGCGGACUAACACGGUAUGCAGUCCACAGCAGACAUCUAACGUGGACGAAAUGUGAAGGAGAAGGAUGGGGAUGCGUCUGAUUAGCUUGUUGGCGGGGUAACGGCCCACCAAGGCGACGAUCAGUAGGGGUUCUGAGAGGAAGGUCCCCCACAUUGGAACUGAGACACGGUCCAAACUCCUACGGGAGGCAGCAGUGAGGAAUAUUGGUCGGUGGGCGAGAGCCUGAACCAGCCAAGUAGCGUGCAGGAAGACGGCCCUAUGGGUUGUAAACUGCUUUUAUACGGGGAUAAAGUGAGUCACGUGUGGCUUAUUGCAGGUACCGUAUGAAUAAGGACCGGCUAAUUCCGUGCCAGCCGCCGCAGUAA